UACAUGGGGUGCAAACGUUGCUCGGAAUUAUUGGGCGUAAAGCGCACGUAGGCGGUUCGUUAAGUCGGAUGUGAAAGCCCUCGGCUCAACCAAGGAAGUGCUUUCGAAACUGCUGAGCUUGAGUACUUAAGAGGAUCGCGGAAUUCCCGGUGUAGAGGUGAAAUGCGCAGAUAUCGGGAAGAACACCCGUGGCGAAGGCGGCUCUCUGGGACGGUACUGACGCUGAGACGCGAAAGCGUGGGGAGCGAACAGG
rnacentral:rRNA from 1 species